AUGGUGGACCACCACGCGGCGAAACAGUCGGACCAGUACUGCCCCAGCAGCGCAGGCAAUGGCGCUGGCGGCUGGGGUGGCAUGGGCAACUACAUGGCCCAAGAGGACGACUGGGACCGGGACCUGCUGUUGGACCCGGCCUGGGAGAAGCAGCAGCGCAAGACCUUCACAGCCUGGUGAAAUUCUCACCUGCGCAAGGCAGGCACACAGAUAGAGAACAUCGACUAAGACUUUAGAGACGGGCUCAAGCUCAUGCUUCUCCUGGAGGUCAUUUCAGGGGAGCGGUUACCUAAGCCCAAGCGGGGGAAAUGAGAGUGCACACAAUGUGAACAAAGCUCUGGACUUUAUCGCCAACAAAGGAGUCAAGCUGGUUUCCAUUGGGGCGGAAGAGAUAGUGGAUGGCAUUGCAAAGAUGACCCUGGGAGUGAUCUGGACCAUUAUCCUGAGGUUUGCCAUCCAGGACAUCUCUGUGGAAGAAAUUUCUGAGAAGGAAGGGCUGCUUCUCUGGUGCCAGAGAAAGACUGCCCCAUAUAAGAAUGUCAACAUGCAGAAUUUCCACAUCAGGUGGAAGGAUGGUCUUGCUUUCAAUGCUCUCAUCCACCGACACAGACCAGAGCUGAUUGAGUAUGACAAGCUGAGAAAGGAUGAGCCUGUCACCAAUCUGAACAAUGCCUUUGAAGUGGCUGAGAAAUACCUUCACAUCCCCAAGAUGUUGGAUGCAGAAGACAUCGUGAACACAGCCCGGCCCGACGAGAAGGCCAUAAUGACCUAUGUGUCCAGCUUCUACCAUGCCUUUUUGGGAGCACAGAAGGUUGAGACUGCCGCCAACAGGAUCUGCAAGGUGCUGGCUGUCAACCAGGAGGAUGAACACCUGAUGGAAGAUUAUGAGCGGCUAGCCAGUGAUCUCCUAGAGUGGAUGCGGCACGCCAUCCACUCGUGCCCCAAAGAACCACCCAGGAGAUGCAGCAGAAGCUGGAAGACUUCCGUGACUACUGGCAUGUCCACAAGCCACUGAGGCCACAAGAGAAGUGUCAGCUGGAGAUCAACUUCAACACACUACAGAACAAACUGCGCCUCAGCAAUCUGCCAGGCUUCAUGCCCUCUGAGGGAAGGAUGGUUCGGACAGCAACAAUGGCUGGCAGCACCUGGAGCAGGCUGAGAAGGGCUAUGAAGAGUGGCUGCUGAAUGAAAUCCCCAGGCUGGAGUGGUUUGACAGAAGUUCAAACUUCUGUGGCAGAGAAGUUCCAGUAGAAGGCUUCCAGCCAUAAGGCCUGGGCCGAUGGAAAGGAAGCCAUGCUCAAGCACCUGGACUAUGAAACAGCUACCCUGUCAGACAUCAAGGCUCUUAUCUGCAAACAUGAGGCCUUUGAGAGUGACCUGGCUGCACACUAGGACCGUGUAGAGCAGAUUGCAGCAAUUGCCCAGGAGCUUAAUGAGCUGGAUUACUAUGACUCUCACAAUGUAAACACCCGGUGCCAGAAGAUCUGUGACCAGUGGGAUACCAUGGGCAAUCUGACCAACAGUCACAGGGAAGCCCUGGAUAAAACAGAGAAGCAGCUGGAGACCAUUGGCCAGCUGCACCUGGAGAAUGCCAAGUAGGCUGCCCCUUUGAACAACUGGAUGGAGAGUGCCAUGGAGGACCUGCAGGACGUGUUCAUUGUACACACCAUCGAGGAGAUUGAGGGCCUGAUCUCAGCACAUGACCAGUUCAAGUCAACCCUGCCAAAUGCUGACAGGGAGCAUGAGGCUAUCCUGGCCAUACACAAAGAGGCACAGAGGAUAGCUGAGAGCAACCACAUCAAGCUGUCAGGCAUCAAACACUAUACCACUGUUACCCCCCAGAUCAUCAACUCCAAGUGGGAAAUGGUGCAGCAGUUGGUACCAAAGCAGGACCAUGCCCUCAUUGGGGAGCAGAUCAAGCAGCAGUCCAACGAGCACCUCCGCCGCCAGUUCGUCAGCCAGGCCAACAUGGUGGGGCUCUGGAUCCAGACCAAGAUAGAGGAGAUCAGGUGCAUCUCCACCGAGAUGAAUGGGACCCUGGAGGACCAGCUGAACCACUUGAAGCAGUACAAACGCAGCAUUGUGGACUACAAGCCCAACCUGGACCUGCUGGAGCAGCAGCACCAGCUCAUACAGGAGGCCCUCAUCUUUGACAACAACCACACCAACUAUACCAUGGAGCACAUUCACGUGGGCUGGGAGCAGCUGUUCACCACCACUGCUCUCACCAUCAAUGAAAUUGAGAACCAGAUCCUCACCCAAGACACCAAGGGCAUCAGCCUGGAGUAGAUGCAAGAGUUCUGGGUGUCCUUCAACCAUUUUGACAAGGAUCGUGGCGGGGCCCUGGGGCCUGAGGAGUUCAAGGCCUGCCUCAUCAGCCUGGGCUACGACAAGGAGAAUGACCGCCUGGGUGAUGCUGAGUUCAACUGCAUCAUGAAUGUGGUUAAUCACAAACACAGUGGCCUCCUGACCUUCCAAGCCUUCAUCGACUUCAUGUCGAGGGAGACCACUGACACGGACACAGCUGACCAAGUUAUUGCCUCCUUCAAGGUGCUGGCAGGGGACAAGAACUUCAUCACAGCUGAGGAGCUAUGGAGAGAGCUGCCCCCCUACCAGGCAGAGUACUGCAUUGCCCGCAUGGCGCCCUAUCAGGGGUCUGAGGCUGUGCCUGGUGCCCUGGACUACAAGUCCUUCUCCACAGCCCUCUAUGGAGAGAGUGACCGGUGAAGCCCUAGCCACCGGACCACACCCUCCUCGAGGCCUCCUG